UGGCUCAGUUCAGUGUUGGUGAG
rnacentral:miRNA from 1 species